UAGAAGGAGACGGUCCGCGUUUGUAUCUCCGAGAAGCUCGGCCGGAUCCGAUCGGUCUCUUCCCACCCGCACCUGUUUCAUGUCUCGUGCCAUCUUUCGCCCUCCCUUUGACUUGCUUGGAUUAGCGCGGGAUUUGGUGGUGGGCGUCCGCCUACAAAGUCGCUGGGGCUCCUAAAAAGAUGAUUGUGAGAUGGUGCUUUGAGUUGGUUUUGGUUGACAACGAGAGAGAGCACGCUGGUCUGCACUUAUGCAGGGGGACAUGAAUGUGUACUUGCGUGCUUUCUAUCGUUGUCAAUCAUUGACAUGGCGCCAAGCAGUUUGCUUUUGUUCUUAUGGCUCGCAUGCAGGAAACUUUGCUCUAAGGGAGGCGUUCGUAUCUCAGUUGAGAGGUUACUAUCGAGUUGGAUUGCAUGAUGCAAUCAAAUGGUGUUCAGGUCUUAAUAAUAAUUGGUCUCUCUGUACCUUUCAGCUGUGUUUCAUUGGACCAAAUGGAUUCUGCGGGACCAACAUGAUGCUCUUUCUAAGUCCUGAUAUGAGCACAGUGGAUUCACAAUUCACUUGGCACCUAACCUCUGGGAUGUCGGAACGUUGAGGUAACAUUCUUGUGCCUAUUUUGAAUUUUCUUGGAUCGAAUUAUGGAUCAUUUUGCAGGAAUUUUGGCUGAUUUGGGAUAACAAACUAUUUUUAUCGUCGGUAGUACAAAAGACUAAUAUUUUCGAUAUGAUUCACAUGACCUGAUUUGUGUGGUUUUAUCUUUCUCUGAAACAUGGUGGUUCUUCAAGUGUUAAGUUUAGCCGAGUAAAUACUUGGGUCAAACAAAUGGUAUUUUGAUUCAUUUGUUAGUGAUUUAGCCUUCUAUAACUAAAUGUGAGACAGAUUGUCUCAACUUUGGACCAUGCC